CGGCGUUCAUCCAUCGCUCGGCCGAUCGGCUGCUUCCCCCUCGCCGCCCGUUGCUAGGCAGGCCCGGACGCAGCUGCCGCCGUUUCCUGCCCGCUCGGGGGCGGCCGGCGGCGGGACGCGGCGCCCACCCUCCCUCUCCUUCCCCGCCAUGGAGGGUGACAAGUGAUUCCUUACAGAGGGACGAUGGUCUCAAAGAGAAGAACCAGAGAAGAUACUUGGAAAUCAGAAGAACUGUGGAAACAUCUCAGGGCAUCACAGCCAGAUAGUCAAAAUGAAGACCAAAGGCACAGAGAAAAGAAACUGCAGAAAGAGAAGUCUGUUUAUGACACAGACACUCAUAAACAUGAACGCAAAGACAGAGGGAAGAGCAAGGAAAGAACAAGAGAGAGAGAGCGAUUCAGAUCUGGUGAAAGAGACAGGGAUAAAAUGAGAGAGAGAGAAAGGGGAAAAGAGCACCAGAGAGAAGGAGAGCGAGAGAGAUACAAAUAUAAGCUUCGAGAAUCAAGUAUGGAGAAGGACAGUUACCAUGUACCAAAAGAUAAAGACAAGGAGAGUAAUAGGGAACAGGAUAAAAAACAUAAAAGACAUGAGAUAAAGCAAAUAGAUACACAAAAUAAUCUGAAAUCAUUUGAAGGAAGAGAUAAAGAACAUCACAGAAGAAGAGAAAGCAGGCAUCAUUUGGGUAAGUUGCUUUGGGUUGCUCUUGUACUUUGAAAUAUUUGAUAUUUAGAUAGAAAUACUCUGAAACCACACCUCAUCUGUACAGAGGGGAUAAAGACAGGC
rnacentral:lncRNA from 1 species